UUGAUAGUGAUUAGCGACCGUAGUGUAUUAAUUUGUUUUGAAGUUGCUUAUUUUCGUAUGUGGAAUGUCUUUUGUGAGUUGUGUUUGUGUAUGUUGUUUUAUGUGAGACAAAAAUAUUUUGUUAUGUAAUUGUAUAUAGGCUUAUUUUGGGUAAGAGGAUUUGUAUUUCCAUGGACGUUGGUCUUUUUGUGAUAAUUGAUUGUUAACAUGUGAGGUUAAAUGUCAAAUGGUUUAUGUUUAUUUAGGAUAAUUGUGUGUGGGAGUUUGAGAUUGUAUUUAAAUGCUCAUCUUAUAUAAUUCUAUAAUGGCUUUAUAAAAAUUGUUGGUGACUGGAAGAUUUUUUUGUGCUUGUCAAAGAAUGUGAAAUUAUCAGCAAUAUCAAAUAAAGUUGUAAUUUAUUGUAUUGGUAUAUGUAGAAUUUGUAAUUCAGCAUUCCUUCACCACGUGUGUAAAAGUUUGUGAGGUAUUUUGGAUAUGUUCUCAUUUCACUCUUACGUUAUUUUCUGUGUUAUUUGGUACAAAUUUGAAAAACUGACAUUUUAUAUUUUCGACCACUUAAUCUUUAAUUUUCAUUUAUCGCUAUGAGCAAUGAAAAUUUUGAGAUUGGCAGGAUUAUCAGAGUUUUAAGAGGGGAAUAUGUGAGUAUUGUAACUGUGUGGUUGGAUAUGCGGUGGAAAAGUUUGAAAAGAAACGUAUAAUUAGAAGUGGUAUCAAAAAAAAAAAAAGAACAGUAGUUGUAGCACCGAU
rnacentral:lncRNA from 1 species